GAUGAACGCUAGCGGCAGGCCUAAUACAUGCAAGUCGAACGGUGUCUUCGGACAUAGUGGCGCACGGGUGCGUAACACGUAUGCAACCUACCUUACAUUGGGGGAUAGCCUUUCGAAAGGGAGAUUAAUACCGCAUAAGACAGUAGCUGGGCAUCCAGCAGCUGUUAAAGAUUUAUCGAUGUAAGCUGGGCAUGCUUCCAAUUAGCUAGUUGGUGAGGUAACGGCUCACCAAGGCAAUGAUUGGUAGGGGAACUGAGAGGUCAAUCCCCCACACUGGCACUGAGAGACGGGCCAGACUCCUACGAGAGGCAGCAGUAGGGAAUAUUGGGCAAUGGACGCAAGUCUGACCCAGCCAUGCCGCGUGCAGGAUGAAGGCGUUAUGCGUUGUAAACUGCUUUUAUACAGGAAGAAACGACUCUUGCGAGAGGCAUUGACGGUACUGUAUGAAUAAGCACCGGCUAACUCCGUGCCAGCCGCCGCAGUAAGAC
rnacentral:rRNA from 1 species